GCCGGGCGUCGUGGCAGAUGCCUGUAGUCCCAGCUACAUUGGGAGGCUGAGGCAGGAGAAUGGCGUGAACUCGGGAGGCGGAGCUUGCAGUGAGUGGAGAUCGCGCCACUGCACUCCAGGCUGGGCGACAGAGCAAGACUCUGUCUCAAAAAAAAAAAAAAAUACAGAUUUCUAGUCUUUUUUGUUGUUGUUGAGACAGAGUCUCGCCCUUUCACCCAGGCUGGAGUGCAAUGGCACAGUCUCAGCUCACUGCAACCUCCACCUCCUGGGUUCAAGUGAUUCUCCUGCCUCAG
rnacentral:SRP_RNA from 1 species